UACUCCAUUUUUCAAUUUUCACGCUCUCAGAAUUCACACACGGGUCCCACUAGCAUAGACAAUACACCAGCCUACACAGUGAGACGAGGAAGGGAGGAGGGAAAAAGAUUAUCAUCAUCUUUGGAGAGACGCCAUUUUGGGCUCUCUUCUUUUCUUCUUUUCACAAUUCACGCACAAGAAACCAACACUAACAUAAAAUUUUACACACUAAAAAUCACACACCAGGAAAAUAGAGACUCUAUUUUUCCUCUCUCUUCGUCAUAAGCACACCCACACAGUGAGAUGAGGAAGAGAGGAAGAGCAGAUCAUUGGAAAAAAUGGCGUGAGAGAGAACUGAGAGAAGGAAAAUUUAGGACGAAAUAGAAAGAUCGAGAAAAGAGAGUUGAGAUCGAGAGAGAGGAGGGUAACAUGGAGCUAAGGGAACAUAAGUUUCGUAGUUUGGUUCCUGUUUCAGCGAUAGAUUCGCUGGAAACACGUCUAAGCCAUCACAAAUCUGUUCAAAACCCAUCAAAAUACGUCACCACUGGUAUUUCUUUAUCGAUUUCGGUCAUCGCAUAAGUUUACUGGAGUUACGGCGACACAAAAUAGUCAAACAAACCUCGAACUGCUUUCGAUUUCGUCCAAACCUGUAGGAAUUAGGCUGAAUUUCUCUUAUUUCUCAUGAUUUUUAGUUCAAGGUUGGGCGGGUUCAUCGGAAUCUGGUCCAGGUUUCUCUGUUUUGUGAUUCUUAAUUUCGAGUUGGAUGAAUUUGUUCGAUUGAGGUUCGACAUGAGAUUUUUGAGUGCAGACUCUCUUUAUCCGAGUAAUACUGAAUUUAAAAAAGCAUCAAAUUGAGGUCCAAUUCUAAUCUUUACCUUUUUUUGUUUCAUUGUUAAUGAUAUUCGAUGCAUUGAUUUCAAUAUUGUGUGUUGGUUGAUUAGUGAUGAUGUGAAUUAUUGCUGUUUUGAUUCGGUGUUUUAUUUCCUUGAUUAUGGAUUGGUUAUGGUUGUGGAUUGUUGAAAUGGUGAUUGCGAAUUGUGAAAAUUUAGUUUAAAAAGAAAUGUGGGGUUGGAUGGUAGCAAUUGAUAAAAAUAAAUAUUGUUUAAUCUUGAUUUAUUGUCGUUGGUUGUUUUGGAGUAAAUACGAAUGCUAAACGUGAUAGUAUCGUGAUAGGAUGAAAUUAGUAGGCAAAUGGUAGGCUGGGUAGGCAAAUUUAGGAAUAACGAUUUGUUGAGUGUUUGAAUAUGUGUGUGAAUGAUUCAUUCUAUUUUAUCACACAAAAAAUUAAAAUUGUACUCAUUCGGCCAGGAAAUGCCUCGAGAGAUAUGUAUUAAUUUAUUCAGGGAAUGCCCCGAAGUAUCAUGUACACAGAGGAGGCUCGUGAUCAAGGCCCGAGGCAUCGGUUAAGGCAUUGGGGCAUAGUUUUAGGAUUAGCUUAACAUAGGAUUUAUAUUUUUGCUUUUUUCUAUUUUUGGACUGUAUAAUCGGAUUGGACACUAUAUUUUGAAUUAUUUUGCUUUGUUUGUUUGAUUGAUUGUUUGAUGUGUUUUGUGUGAGGUUUAUAUAUUCUUAGUGUCAAAAUUAGCCGAUACACUCUACCAAGCGACCGUGGUCGAACCACGGGAUCGAGGGGUGCCUGACACCUUCCCCUCGGUCAACAAAAUUCCUUAGCUGAAAUCUUUGUUCGCAAAUCAGUUUAAAAGAGUCAAAAACAGUUUUGAAAAAGGAUUUCCAAAGGUGACUUGGCACACCUAAUUUAUUUCAAGUGGCGACUCUGAGUUAAAAUGUAAAUAAUCCUUUUCGAAUAAAAAUUUUCUUCUUUUUGUCACUUUAAUAAAAAACCCUUUCAAACAUAAAAUCUAAUCUUUUUGGAAUGUAAAAGGGGUGUGACAGCUCUGGCGACUCUGCUGGGGAUUUUUCAAAAUUCGAGCUUAUUUUGGAGUUGUAUCGGCUUAGUUUGGCACUAUAGGUGUAUGGACAUUUUGUUUCUGUUGUUUUUAUGUUAUUGUAUUAUCACUGUUAAGUGCCUACGUUCUCUUUGUUUACAGUUUUUAUCUUAUGUGUUACCGUUUUAUAUCUGUCAUCAUGUGCAUAACCCGAGUCAUUCUUUCUGCAACAAGUCCAUAGUACACAUGUUGUACACGACCUCUAGUUGAGUCACCCUUAUUUUAGGGGGAGAGCCAUUGGUGUUAUGGAGUAGGUGGGAAGUAAAGCAGCCACUAUCAUUCAUACGCUCCCCCGAACAGCCUUUUUAGUGAACUCCAACGUAGGUUAGCCUUUAGGUCAUGCUUAUGUGUAUCAUAUUGAAGACCUAGCGGGGCCCACUUGGCCCUUUGUAGGAGACUCGCCUCUAAAGCAUCCCUACGUGCUAAAUGUUGCAUCUUUGAAGGUAACGUGGUCAUUUGACGGACUGAUUUGGGGAAAAUAAGUGUUAAAAGUAAAGUAUGUAGACAAGAAAUCGUUUGAAAAAAAAAGUUUCAUAGCUUCUAGUGUUCUUUAUGGCUUAUGUUUUUCACAAUUCAAAAAGAUUUCUUUAUUUUUCUGCACUCAUUUGUUCAAAAAUCAAAUCAUCAAAAAGAUUUUUCACUUUGUCUCCUUUAGCAUGCAUUCAUAAUUAGAAAUUUUAAAAAAAUAUUUUUAGCAGUUUUUAUAAAAGAAAACGAAAAAUGGUAGAAGUUUUGUACAUUUCAUAUAGCGAAAAUGCCAAAAAGAUUUUUUUCUCUUUCAUAGUUGUUGUGUCAGUUUUGUGUGAAGUGUCUAAUUGAAAACUCAAAAAGAUUUUAUUUCUCAUCGUCUGUCUGUAAUCACGUCUCUCAAGUCAAGUCUUAGUUCGUUUUAAUCCUUAAUUGUCCAAUUUGGAUGACUACGCACCCCUGAUUCUCCUCUCUCGGGAGUGAGAUACGUAGGUAGUCUAUUGGUUCGGGGAUCUUAUUUAAAAAAUUCAAAAAAAAGAUUUUCUUUACUCUUUAUUUAGAGUAGGUGUUUCACAUAUGCCUCAAAAAGAAAACUACAAAAAGAUUUUCCUUAAUAGUCAUAGGUUUCAUUUUUGGUUGAUCUUAUUUUAAAAAAUUCAAAAAGAUUUUCUUCACUCUUCAUCUAGAGUAGGUGUUCCAUAUACAUCUUUAAAAGAAACUACAAAAAGAUUUUCCUUUAAUAGUUUCAAAUUUUAUUUUCAUAUGAGUUUCAAAAUUGAAAACCCAAAAAGAUUUCUUUGUUAAUCAUAGAUUUCGCUUUGUAUAGGGGUGUUUAAACCUGAAAAAUACAAAAUGAUUUUCGUCAAUUCUUUUUACAAAUUGUUAUUUUCUUUUCUUCUUAAAGUUUCAAGAAAAAAAAAGAAAAAGAGUUAAUUUGGCUAUUUUGGAAAGACUUCACGAACUACGCACAACUGAUUCUCCUUUCUUAGGAGUGAGAUACGUAGGCGUCCUUCUUGGAUUCGGUGAUCUUUUCAAGAAAAAAAUGGUUUUGAAAAAUUAUUGAACUCUAACGCAUUAGGUAUCUCUUGUCCAGUUAGUUUAAGGUGGUUGGUUUGUGGCAUUUUGGCUGGUCCUCCAUAUUGCUCCAAGUCACAGAGAAAGUUAUGGCCAACAAGGAUACCAAUUUUGUUUUCACUAAUCAGAUAAGGAGUUCGGGGAAUGAGAAUGUAGGAGCUAAUGAAGAGAUUCAGAAAUUAAGGCAACAAAUGAUAGAAAUACAUCGAGCUUGGGCUAAUGGGUUGUCACCUCCUCCAUUUCCCACUGACAAUCUGGAAUAUCUUUCUAGCUUGUCUCCAGUAUCACAUGCACAGUUCCCUAUUUUUGUUGACAUGACACAACAUGCAUCUGGAUCGAUUCCGGGAAAACAAUAUCUGAACACUUUUAAUGUUCAUUUCCUCACUCCUCAAUACAAAACUACCACAUACUCGGCUCCACCUUCAAUUCCCAUUUUUGCAACUCCACUCCCAUAUAAAGCUCCUGUUUCUGAGGGUCAUCCAACAGUCGUGCUUUCUCACUCUGCAAGAGAGCAUGUAUUGAAUAUUUCUGGUGAUCAACAUUAUGCUUUUGAACCCAUAUUUAAGUCAACUAGUCAUUACGGCUACACUCACCCGCCUGAACUUUCUCUUAACACUGAGAAGCCUGUUAUGACAGAAGAACAAGAAGAAAUGACCAAAAAAUUGAGAAGCUUGGAACUGGCUAUGAAAAACUUGCAAGGACUCGGGGGGUACAAAAGUGUCUCAUAUAACGAUCUAUGCAUGUUUCCAGAUGUUCAUCUUCCUAUUGGUUUUAAAAUGCCAAAGUUUGAGAAGUAUGAUGGACAUGGAGAUUCUGUAGCACAUUUGAGAUGUUAUUGCAACCAACUAAGGGGCGCUAGAGGGAAGAAAGAAUUACUCAUGGCAUAUUUUGGUGAGAGUCUUUCAGGUCUAGCUUCAGAAUGGUUUGUUGACCAAGACAUUGACAAGUGGAAUAGUUGGGAUGAACUGAGUCGUGCUUUCUCACUCUGCAAGAGAGCAUGUAUUGAAUAUUUCUGGUGAUCAACAUUAUGCUUUUGAACCCAUAUUUAAGUCAACUAGUCAUUACGGCUACACUCACCCGCCUGAACUUUCUCUUAACACUGAGAAGCCUGUUAUGACAGAAGAACAAGAAGAAAUGACCAAAAAAUUGAGAAGCUUGGAACUGGCUAUGAAAAACUUGCAAGGACUCGGGGGGUACAAAAGUGUCUCAUAUAACGAUCUAUGCAUGUUUCCAGAUGUUCAUCUUCCUAUUGGUUUUAAAAUGCCAAAGUUUGAGAAGUAUGAUGGACAUGGAGAUUCUGUAGCACAUUUGAGAUGUUAUUGCAACCAACUAAGGGGCGCUAGAGGGAAGAAAGAAUUACUCAUGGCAUAUUUUGGUGAGAGUCUUUCAGGUCUAGCUUCAGAAUGGUUUGUUGACCAAGACAUUGACAAGUGGAAUAGUUGGGAUGAACUGGCUAAUGAAUUCGUGCAACAAUUCCAAUUUAAUAUUGAGUUGAUUUCUGACGAGAAAUCCCUAACUAAUAUGAAGAAAAAGAGUACUGAAACUUUCAGAGAGUAUACGAUUAGAUGACGUGAACAAGCUGCUAGGGUGAAACCGCCAAUGAAAGAAAGUAAGAUGGUGGAAGUGUUUAUUCAAGCAUAGGAUGAAACAUAUUAUCAACACUUCUUACCUGCAUUAGGCAAGCCAUUUAUUAAGGUCCUUAAAAUGGGGGAGAUGAUAGAGGAUGAAAUUAAGACUGAUCCCAUUGUGAAUUUUGCAACAUUGAAAGUGACUACUCAAGCGAUUCAAAAAGUUUAGAAAGUGUUGGAGGGAAGAAGUAUGAGGAAAAUACAUCUGUCAUUGUAGUUGGACAAUAGGCACGGGAAAGAGGACCACACCAUCGUUACCCACAGGCUCAAACCCAAGUUUAUGCCCAAGCUCCAAAGAAUCUUUUCCCAAAUCUAUUAUACUCCAUUCCCCCACUUCUAUAUAUAGUAUAUAAUGUACAACCGCAUGUCCAACCCUGAUCUUACCCACAAUGGCACAAGCCAACUUCUCAGAGUCAUCCUCUAACUCCACACACAUACCAAAGCCCUUCUAGGCUAGAUUUUUGGUCCAAGCCAAACAAUAAAAUGAGGCAGAAGUUGAGAGAUACCUUCACGCCAAUUGGAGAAUCGUAUGCAAGUUUAUUCUGUAGAUUGGUACAGCGGGGCAUGAUCAGUCCUCUCCUUGGGUAUACUCCUGAUCCACAUUCAAGAAGUUUUAAUCCUAAUGUACGAUGUGCAUAUUAUUCUAAUGUUCAGGGUAACAGUAUUGAAGAUUGUCGUGCUUUGAAAAGAGAAAUUGAAAAGAUGAUUCAAGAUAAAUAAAUUAUAGUGUAGAACAUUGAUAGUGAGGAAAGCUCUAGUCAUGCUGAUAUGCAAACCAGUGGCUAAGAUGACAGGCUGAGCAAUUGAGAAGUCACCUCUCUCCCUAUUAGGAAGAGGUCUGGUAGCUUGUUUUGUUUUGUUUUCUGUUGUUCGAAUUAUUUUAGGGUUGUAGUUCGGGAUCUAUCUUAUUUUGUUCUUUUGUCAUUUAUGUUUAAACCCUUCUAUCUUUUAUUUUAACUAAAUGAAUUAUCAUUUUUCCUUUGUGUUUUAAAAUAUGUGUUGUUUGUUUGUUUUCUUUAUACAGUUCAUUUUAUGUUGACUCUAGUGAUAUGACAUGCUUGGGGAAUUUUCAGCCAGAUCUUAAAAUCUAGUUUAAGCAUGAACAUUGAAUCAGAGGGUUAAAGUUAGAAAAAUAGAGCAUAUGAGAAAAUAGAUAGAGUGCUGGGGCAUUUGGUGAUCAAGUUGAAGCCUUCUUUGAAAAUUAAGGCAAUUAUUUUGAGAAUCAUGAGAAUAACUUGGUCAUCAAUUGAAAGACAUAUCUCAAUUGGUCAAGUAGUGAAUGUACGAUCCUAUGUCAAAAGAAAUAGAAAGAAAAUCAGCUCCACGAAGUCAUGAGUCCUUUAGCAUAAGGAAUGUACAACGAAAGUGGAGUUGUAUGUUUGACAAGGGUAGAAGAAGAAUUGGCACAUGCUCAGUUGAAGUUAGUGUUGUUAAAGUGUCACAAAUGAUUUUUAUCUUUCAUUUCAUAUUGCAUGAUGUAUACUUGCAUUUUCAAGGAUUGAUAUGAUGAAGGCAUUUCAUUCUGCUAUCCAAACAACAUGUCGUUCUUUGUUUACCCCAUUUGAGCUUUAGUCCUAUUUCCUUUCAUACCCCUCUUUUGAAAUUAAGAUGUCAGCAAAACUCAAAAGAAAAGUGUCGAGCAAAGCAAUAUAGUCAGAAAAAUUUCAAAAGAAAAAAAAGAAAAAAGAGAAGAAAAUAUGUCCAAAAAAAAAAGAAAUAAAAGAGUCAACAAAAUAAAGAAAAAAACAAAAAAAUCAGAAUCAAUCAAAGAACAAGCUGCCAGAACUACGCAUGACCUGAUUCUCCUCUCUCGGGGGUGAGAUAUGUAGGCUGCCCUACUAAGGGCUCGGUCCAACCAAAUAAAAAAUUUAGAACCCAGUCAAAAGAAACUAGGGUAUGAGUUAAUCCUCAUUGUUUGAGUCGAUUUCAAAAUUGUAAGUCCUACCCACUUCAAGUGUUGUUUGGGCCUCAUGUCAUCCUUUGUUCCUAACCUUAUUCAAAAGCCAAGUUACAACCAAAGAAAAACCUUUAGAUCAAUCUUUGAGAAUUUUGAGGCUAAACAUGCAAUGGAUAUGAUGAUGCAUUUUGCGUACUACUUGUCUCCCUCAGCAUAAAAAUUAUGAGAGAAAUACAAAUGAGAGAGUCUUAUUGGUGAAAACCCUUUUGGGCAUCAUAAGACGAUGAUAAGUUGAGAGAAAUAAAAAUGAGAGAGCCUUAUUGGUGAAAACCCUCACGGGCACCAUCAGGCGAUAUGGAGUUGAGAGAAAGAGAAUGAAAGGCUUGUUGGCGAAAACCCUUCAAGGCGCCACUAGCCGAAUGAGGUCUUAAAUGCAAUUGACCUAAGGAAGCAACUCAGUCUCAAGGCCAUUAACUCAACGACAAUUGGUAGAAAGUUAGGACGAAAAGAUCAAGCUGCUUAAUCCAAAAUGUAUGACAUAUUCAUUAGAGUUGAAUGUCAUUUUUAGAUGAAUUUUUUAUUUCAUUGUAUUAAAUGGGGACAUUCAUUGUCUUUCUUUCUUCUCUUUAUUUUAUUUUCUUUAGUCAGUUGUCCAAAUAAAAUCAUUGUCAUUUUUUCUCUUGUCUUUCAGUCAAGUCCAUGUCAAAACAUGUGAGAAAAAAUUUCAAAAUUGGCUACCAGCUUCUUCAAUUGCGCAAAGUAAUACAAAAGGUCAACAUGUGAAAGAGACAUGGUUGUGAGCCGAAAUAAGAAAUACAAAAACUUUAUCAACAGACAAGUUAGGAAACUCAUGAAAAUACCAAGGUUCAAAGGGUUUAUCUGAGAAGCAUGGCAAACUAGAGAUACUGUGUUUGUUUCAGAGUCACUCUUAAUAAUUUGAGUUUGGGUCAAUGAUACAGCAAGUCAAUGGCAUAUGCUAAUGGUUGGAGAUAAGGUUAAAUGUGAUCGGGGCAAGAGCGAUUGCCGCGAAAGCUAAAGCUACAAACCAACCACCAUAUUUUAAAACUCACAAGUUUUCUUUGUAUGAAAUAGGAACACAUGUUGCAUUCGUAUCAAGGAUUUCAGAGCCUAAACAUUAAAGGCCGUAAUUUCUUAUUUCUACAAAUGCAAAAGGCAAUGUUCCUGCACAGGUGACAUUUAUAAGGAGACGCAUUUCCUUGUAUGAAUAAUUUAAGUGAUAUUUGUAAGGAGAAGCAUUUCCUUAAAAAAUUCAAGAAAACAUUUGUAAGGAGACACACUUUCUUGUUUGGUUAAUUCAUGAAACAUUUGUAAGGAGAUACACUUCCUUGUUUGGUUAAUUCAAGCGGCAUGUGUAAGGAGACACGUUUCCUUGUUUGGGUAAUUCAAGCAACAUUUAUAAGGAAACGCACUUCCUUGUUUAGUUAAUUCAAACAACAUUUGUAAGGAGACGCACUUCCUUGUUUGGGCAAUUCAAGCAACAUUUGUAAGGGGACGCACUUCCUUGUUUGGACAAUUCAAGCAAUAUUUGUAAGGAGAUGAACUUCCUUAUUUUGAUAAUUCAAGUGACAUUUGUAAGGAGAUGUACUUUUUUGUUUAGGUAAUUUAAGUGACAUUUGUAAGGAGACGCACUUUCCUAUUUGUGCAAUUCAAGUAGCAUUUGUGAGGAGACACACUUCCUUAUUUUGGCAACUCAAGUGACAUUUGUGAGGAGACGCACUUUCUUUUUUGGGUAAUUCAAACAACAUUGGUGAGGAAACACACUUCCUUGUUUGUAUAAUUCAAGCGACAUUUAUGAGGAGACACACUUCCUUGUUUGUUUUAUUCAAGAGGAAUUGGUAAGGAGACACAUUUCUUUAUUUGGGUAAUUCAAGAGACAUUUGUUAAGAGACACACUUUCUUGUUUUGGUAAUUCAAACGGCAUUGUUAAGGAGAUGCACUUCCUUGUUUGGUAAUUCAAGCGGUAUCAUAAGGAGACACACUUCCUUGUUUAGGUAACUUAAGCAGCAUUGGUAAGGAGAUGCACUUCUUUGUUUUGGUAAUUCAAGCGGCAUUUAUGAGGAGACACACUUCCUUGUUUGGUAAUUCAAGCAACAUUUGUAAGGAGAUGCACUUUUUUAUCUGGGUAAUUCAAGCAACAUUGUUAAAGAGAUGCACUUCCUUAUUUGGUAAUUCAAGUGGUAUCAUAAGGAGACGCACUUCCUUGUUUAGGUAAUUCAAGCAACAUUGGUAAGGAGACACACUUUCUUGUUUGGUAAUUCAAGCGGUAUUUGUAAGGAGAUACACUUUCUUGUGUGAAAAAUUCAAGCAACAUUUGUAGGGAGAUGCACUUUCUUGUUUGGGUAAUUCAAGCAUUUGUAAGGGAGACGCAUUUCCUUGCAUAAUUCAAGUGACAUUUGUUGGGAGACGCACUUCCUUGUCAGUUUUCAUUUGUCAGGAGUCCGCCUAAAGAACAUGGCGAAUGCAUGAAAGUCAAGCAAUAAGGAAAAGAAGUUGAAAUUCAAGCAACAAGGCGAAGAAAUUGAAAGUCAACAAAUUGAAAAAAUUGCAAGUCAGGAGCCCGCCUGAAGAAUAGGAUGAUGAAACUCAAGUCAAGAGUCAAGGAAAGUUGUAUAGAUAGGAUUUUGUAAUUUCAUUUAUGUUUUAACUUAUAAUUUUCAUUUUGAUGUAAUGACAGAGCCGCGGAUAAGAACCUCGAUGGAACCUCACUCGACUCUCCAACUCGGCAUUGUCCUUCUCUUUCAAAUCCUUUGAAAUAUCCGUGACUUGAUUCCCUCACAACUUGAGUAGGUAGGAUGUCCUAAGUCAAGACUCGGUUGCUUUUUUCCCUUCUGUUUCUUUGAAUAAUGUUCAGGACAAAAUUUCGUCUCGUUGUUUACUUCAUUGUCUGAAAACACUUCGUGUUUACAUUCAAAGGAGGCAUGAUGUAGACAUCUAAUUUUGUCCCUCUCUGAUAUCACUUUUACUCAUUUUUACCUUAUCCUAUCGUGUACCCUCAACCAUGUAAUUAUCCCUCCAUAAAAUAACAAAAAAUAAUAACCCCAUAACAAAUUACAUAUACAAUCAAAAAAGAGGGGGCCCACAAGGAAUUUACUACCAUAUACUCCAUUUUUCAAUUUUCACUCUCUCAAAAUUCACACACGGGUCCCACUAGCAUAGACAAUACACCAGCCUACAUAGUGAGACGAGGAAGGGAGGAUAAAAAAAGAUUAUCAUCAUCUUCAGAGAGACGCCAUUUUGGGCUCUCUUCUUUUCUUCUUUUCGCAAUUCACGCUCAAGAAACCACCAUUAACAUACAAUUUUACACACAAAAAAUCACACACCAGGAAAAUAGAAACUCUAUUUUUCCUCUCUCUUCGUCAUAAGCACACCCACACAGUGAGAUGAGGAAGAUAGGGAGAGUAGAUCAGUGGAAAAAAUGGCGUGAGAGAGAAAUGAGAUAAUGAAAAUUUGGGACGAAAUAGGAAGAUCGAGAAAAGAGA
rnacentral:lncRNA from 1 species